UAAUACGUAGGGGGCAAGCGUUAUCCGGAUUUAUUGGGCGUAAAGCGCGUGUAGGCGGCUUGUUAAGUCAGAUGUGAAAACCGGGGGCUCAACCCGCGGCCUGCAUCUGAAACUGGCAGGCUUGAGUCUGGUAGAGGAAAGUGGAAUUCCUAGUGUAGCGGUGAAAUGCGCAGAUAUUAGGAGGAACACCAGUGGCGAAGGCGGCUUUCUGGGCCACGACUGACGCUGAGACGCGAAAGCUAGGGGAGCGAACAGG
rnacentral:rRNA from 1 species